rnacentral:lncRNA from 1 species
AAGAAGUACAAACUUAUUCCAGGAUCUGAUAUAAACUGGGAGUAGGGGGACACUAAGGUUUUAUGUAUGAGAAUGCAACACUGUGGUCAUCUGGUUCUGGCUCCAAGCUCUUUAUGGGAUCUGGAACAAAGUUAAUUGUGCAGAUCAAGAAAGUAGAACCACCAGCCUUUUACAAAUUCAAUGACUACUGUUUGGCAACCGACUUCACACAACAUAAUGCUGUAAAUGAAACUUUGAAAAAUGUUACACCAGUGCGAUAUUCAGGCAAAGACUACUACAGCAGCUUCAGCUUUAGUGGAUCAGAAAACUGCAGAGAAACAAGUAGGAAUGAUAUUUCAAAUGCAAAAAAAUAA